AUGAGGAAACAGCAGCCCAUGGAGGGGAACUGCCCUGGCCGAGAUCAAAGUCAGAACCUCAGCCAGGCUGAGCCCCAGAUCUUCCAAUUCCAGAGACCAAGGAGCCUAGACCAGAUUCUAGAUGUUCCUAAAGAAACUGUCAAGAACCAAAAUGAUACUACUUCUCCCAGAAGCAGAAACUCUAACAAAGGGGACUAGCACCUGGCCCUGAUCUGACAACUGCCGAGCCCUGCUGGUCGGCUGGGACAGUAAUGCACGCGCCCCACUCAGCAGGUGGAAGCUGCGCAGGAGACCGCAGCAUUGACAGUCACAGCGUGGCAGCUGCGGCGGCCCUAACCCUGGUUCCCACGGCACUGCCCCUCUGCCCAGCUGCCCGCCAGCACUCCCCGGGCCCCACCA